rnacentral:rRNA from 1 species
AGCUCCAAUAGCGUAUAUUAAAGUUGUUGCAGUUAAAAAGCUCGUAGUUGGAUUUGUGGCGGCCUCUGCGGUCCGGAAUGUUCCGGUAUUGUCGGAGGCUGCCAUCCUUGGGUGGAAUCUGUGUGGCAUUAGGUUGUCGCGCAGGGGAUGCCCAUCUUUUACUGUGAAAAAAUUAGAGUGUUCAAAGCAGGCUUACGCCGUUGAAUAUAUUAGCAUGGAAUAACGAAAUACGACUUUGGAACUAUUUUGUUGGUUUGCGCUCCGAAGUAAUGAUUAACAGGAACAGUUGUGGAUCUUUGUAUUCCAUUGUCAGAGGUGAAAUUCUUGGAUUUCUGGAAGACAAACUACUGCGAAAGCAUCGAUCAAGUAUGUUUUCA